rnacentral:siRNA from 1 species
AAGGUGUCUGUUUCUAUUAAAAGG